rnacentral:rRNA from 1 species
AGAUUGAACGCUGGCGGCAGGCCUAACACAUGCAAGUCGAGCGGUAGCACAGAGAGCUUGCUCUCGGGUGACGAGCGGCGGACGGGUGAGUAAUGUCUGGGAAACUGCCUGAUGGAGGGGGAUAACUACUGGAAACGGUAGCUAAUACCGCAUAACGUCGCAAGACCAAAGUGGGGGACCUUCGGGCCUCAUGCCAUCAGAUGUGCCCAGAUGGGAUUAGCUAGUAGGUGGGGUAACGGCUCACCUAGGCGACGAUCCCUAGCUGGUCUGAGAGGAUGACCAGCCACACUGGAACUGAGACACGGUCCAGACUCCUACGGGAGGCAGCAGUGGGGAAUAUUGCACAAUGGGCGCAAGCCUGAUGCAGCCAUGCCGCGUGUGUGAAGAAGGCCUUCGGGUUGUAAAGCACUUUCAGCGGGGAGGAAGGCGUUAAGGUUAAUAACCUUGGCGAUUGACGUUACCCGCAGAAGAAGCACCGGCUAACUCCGUGCCAGCAGCCGCGGUAAUACGGAGGGUGCAAGCGUUAAUCGGAACUACUGGGCGUAAAGCGCACGCAGGCGGUCUGUCAAGUCGGAUGUGAAAUCCCCGGGCUCAACCUGGGAACUGCAUUCGAAACUGGCAGGCUAGAGUCUUGUAGAGGGGGGUAGAAUUCCAGGUGUAGCGGUGAAAUGCGUAGAGAUCUGGAGGAAUACCGGUGGCGAAGGCGGCCCCCUGGACAAAGACUGACGCUCAGGUGCGAAGGCGUGGGGAGCAAACAGGAUUAGAUACCCUGGUAGUCCACGCCGUAAACGAUGUCGAUUUGGAGGUUGUGCCCUUGAGGCGUGGCUUCCGGAGCUAACGCGUUAAAUCGACCGCCUGGGGAGUACGGCCGCAAGGUUAAAACUCAAAUGAAUUGACGGGGGCCCGCACAAGCGGUGGAGCAUGUGGUUUAAUUCGAUGCAACGCGAAGAACCUUACCUGGUCUUGACAUCCACAGAACUUUCCAGAGAUGGAUUGGUGCCUUCGGGAACUGUGAGACAGGUGCUGCAUGGCUGUCGUCAGCUCGUGUUGUGAAAUGUUGGGUUAAGUCCCGCAACGAGCGCAACCCUUAUCCUUUGUUGCCAGCGGUCCGGCCGGGAACUCAAAGGAGACUGCCAGUGAUAAACUGGAGGAAGGUGGGGAUGACGUCAAGUCAUCAUGGCCCUUACGACCAGGGCUACACACGUGCUACAAUGGCAUAUACAAAGAGAAGCGACCUCGCGAGAGCAAGCGGACCUCAUAAAGUAUGUCGUAGUCCGGAUUGGAGUCUGCAACUCGACUCCAUGAAGUCGGAAUCGCUAGUAAUCGUAGAUCAGAAUGCUACGGUGAAUACGUUCCCGGGCCUUGUACACACCGCCCGUCACACCAUGGGAGUGGGUUGCAAAAGAAGUAGGUAGCUUAACCUUCGGGAGGGCGCUUACCACUUUGUGAUUCAUGACUGGGGUGAAGUCGUAACAAGGUAACCGUAGGGGAGCCUGCGGCUGGAUCACCUCCU